rnacentral:rRNA from 1 species
CCUACGGGAGGCAGCAGUGAGGAAUAUUGGUCAAUGGCCGGAAGGCUGAACCAGCCAAGCCGCGUGAGGGAGGACUGCGCAGAGCGUUGCAGACCUCUUUUGCCGGGGGACAAAAGGCCGGACUCAUCCGGUCCUGAGGGUACCCGGAGAAAAAGCAUCGGCUAACUCCGUGCCAGCAGCCGCGGUAAUACGGAGGAUGCGAGCGUUAUCCGGGUUCAUUGGGGUUAAAGGGUGCGCAGGCGGGCCUUUAAGGCGGCGGGGAAAGUGGGGGGCUCAACCCCGCCGAGGCGGUGGAACUGGGGGCCUGGAGUGCGGGGGAGGCAUGCGGAAUGCGCGGUGUAGCGGUGAAAUGCAUAGAUAUCGCGCAGAACCCCGAUUGCGAAGGCAGCGUGCCG